GGAAGCGUGACAGAGUGGUCGAAUGUACCAGUCUUGAAAACUGGAGUCUGGGAAACCGGACCGUGGGUUCGAAUCCCACCGCUUCCGCCA
rnacentral:tRNA from 1 species